rfam:Triticum aestivum genome assembly, contig: Triticum_aestivum_CS42_TGACv1_scaffold_405568_5BL
UUUGUACUCCCUUCGUCCCAAAAUUCUUGUCUUAAAUUUGUCUAAAUACGGAUGUAUGAAGUUACAUUUUAGUGUUAGAUACAUCCGUAUCUAAACAAAUGUAAGACAAGAAUUUUGGGAUGGAGGGAAUACUAC